rnacentral:rRNA from 1 species
UGGGGAAUUUUGGACAAUGGGGGCAACCCUGAUCCAGCAAUGCCGCGGGUGUGAAGAAGGCCUUCGGGUUGUAAAGCACUUUUGUCCGGGAAGAAAUCGCACCUGAUAAUACCGGGUGUGGAUGACGGUACCGGAAGAAUAAGGACCGGCUAACUACGUGCCAGCAGCCGCGGUAAUACGUAGGGUCCAAGCGUUAAUCGGAAUUACUGGGCGUAAAGCGUGCGCAGGCGGUUGUGCAAGACCGAUGUGAAAUCCCCGGGCUUAACCUGGGAAUUGCAUUGGUGACUGCACGGCUAGAGUGUGUCAGAGGGGGGUAGAAUUCCACGUGUAGCAGUGAAAUGCGUAGAGAUGUGGAGGAAUACCGAUGGCGAAGGCAGCCCCCUGGGAUAACACUGACGCUCAUGCACGAAAGCGUGGGGAGCAAACAGG